CUACGGGGCGCAGCAGUGGGGAAUUUUGCGCAAUGGGGGAAACCCUGACGCAGCAAUACCGCGUGAGUGAAGAAGGCCUUUGGGUCGUAAAGCUCUUUUCUUGGGGAAGAUAGUGACGGUACCCAAGGAAUAAGCGCCGGCUAACUCCGUGCCAGCAGCCGCGGUAAUACGGAGGGUGCAAGCGUUGUUCGGAUUUACUGGGCGUAAAGGGCACGUAGGCGGCACAGCAAGUUAAGGGUGAAAUCCCGGGGCUCAACUCCGGAACUGCUCUUAAAACUGCUGAGCUAGAGAUAGUCAGAGGCGGGUGGAAUUCCAGGUGUAGAGGUGAAAUUCGUAGAUAUCUGGAGGAACACCGGUGGCGAAGGCGGCCCGCUGGGGCUAUUCUGACGCUAAGGUGCGAAAGCGUGGGGAGCAAACGGGAUUAGAUACCCGUGUAGUC
rnacentral:rRNA from 1 species